rnacentral:rRNA from 1 species
UACGUAGGGGGCAAGCGUUGUCCGGAUUCAUUGGGCGUAAAGAGCGUGUAGGCGGCCUGGUAGGUCGGUUGUGAAAACUGGAGGCUCAACCUUCAGACGUCGACCGAAACCAUCUGGCUAGAGUCCGGGAGAGGAGAGUGGAAUUCCUGGUGUAGCGGUGAAAUGCGCAGAUAUCAGGAAGAACACCCGUGGCGAAAGCGGCUCUCUGGAACGGUACUGACGCUGAGACGCGAAAGCGUGGGGAGCGAACAGG